rnacentral:rRNA from 1 species
AUGGAGCCUCGCUGUCGUGGUAGAAAGACCCAUGCCACUCAAAAUGUGAUGGCGGCUGUUGAUUUUGAUCUUCGGUUCACAUUUGUGUUGGCUGGUUGGGAGGGGUCAGCACAUGAUGCUCAAGUUUUACGUGAUGCUUUAGAACGUGAAAAUGGUCUACGUGUCCCACAAGGAAAAUUCUAUCUCGUUGGUGCUGGACAUGGAGCCAAACCAGGGUUCUUGCCUCCUUUUCGUGGUGUGAGGUGUCAUUUAAAUGAGCGGGGGGACAAUCUUGUUCAAGAUGAGAAGGAAUUAUUUAACCAUAGACAUUCUUCCCUUCGUACGACCGUAAAGCAUGCAUUUGGGUCACUCAAGGGGAGAUUCAAAAUCCUUGAUGAGGCCAAGCCAUUUUUCUGCUAUCCUACUCAAGUAGACAUUGUUAUAGCUUGUUGCAUUGUUCACAAUUGGGUUAUAAAUGAUGGGAUAGAUGAAUUUAUCAUACCUGAGGCUGAAUGUGUUGCUAAUAUUAACCAUGCUUCAACGACAAGUGCCCAAGCAAGUGAACAUACAAACAUGGUUACUUUGCGGCAGGGAAUUGCCAAUCAAAUGUGGGAAGACCGACAAAACUACUUGCAGCACAAUAGUAUGCAAUAG